rnacentral:rRNA from 3 species
AGAGUUUGAUCAUGGCUCAGAUUGAACGCUGGCGGCAGGCCUAACACAUGCAAGUCGAGCGGUAGCACAGAGAGCUUGCUCUCGGGUGACGAGCGGCGGACGGGUGAGUAAUGUCUGGGAAACUGCCUGAUGGAGGGGGAUAACUACUGGAAACGGUAGCUAAUACCGCAUAAUGUCGCAAGACCAAAGUGGGGGACCUUCGGGCCUCAUGCCAUCAGAUGUGCCCAGAUGGGAUUAGCUAGUAGGUGGGGUAACGGCUCACCUAGGCGACGAUCCCUAGCUGGUCUGAGAGGAUGACCAGCCACACUGGAACUGAGACACGGUCCAGACUCCUACGGGAGGCAGCAGUGGGGAAUAUUGCACAAUGGGCGCAAGCCUGAUGCAGCCAUGCCGCGUGUGUGAAGAAGGCCUUCGGGUUGUAAAGCACUUUCAGCGGGGAGGAAGGCGGUGAGGUUAAUAACCUCAUCGAUUGACGUUACCCGCAGAAGAAGCACCGGCUAACUCCGUGCCAGCAGCCGCGGUAAUACGGAGGGUGCAAGCGUUAAUCGGAAUUACUGGGCGUAAAGCGCACGCAGGCGGUCUGUCAAGUCGGAUGUGAAAUCCCCGGGCUCAACCUGGGAACUGCAUUCGAAACUGGCAGGCUAGAGUCUUGUAGAGGGGGGUAGAAUUCCAGGUGUAGCGGUGAAAUGCGUAGAGAUCUGGAGGAAUACCGGUGGCGAAGGCGGCCCCCUGGACAAAGACUGACGCUCAGGUGCGAAAGCGUGGGGAGCAAACAGGAUUAGAUACCCUGGUAGUCCACGCCGUAAACGAUGUCGAUUUGGAGGUUGUGCCCUUGAGGCGUGGCUUCCGGAGCUAACGCGUUAAAUCGACCGCCUGGGGAGUACGGCCGCAAGGUUAAAACUCAAAUGAAUUGACGGGGGCCCGCACAAGCGGUGGAGCAUGUGGUUUAAUUCGAUGCAACGCGAAGAACCUUACCUGGUCUUGACAUCCACAGAACUUUCCAGAGAUGGAUUGGUGCCUUCGGGAACUGUGAGACAGGUGCUGCAUGGCUGUCGUCAGCUCGUGUUGUGAAAUGUUGGGUUAAGUCCCGCAACGAGCGCAACCCUUAUCCUUUGUUGCCAGCGGUUAGGCCGGGAACUCAAAGGAGACUGCCAGUGAUAAACUGGAGGAAGGUGGGGAUGACGUCAAGUCAUCAUGGCCCUUACGACCAGGGCUACACACGUGCUACAAUGGCAUAUACAAAGAGAAGCGACCUCGCGAGAGCAAGCGGACCUCAUAAAGUAUGUCGUAGUCCGGAUUGGAGUCUGCAACUCGACUCCAUGAAGUCGGAAUCGCUAGUAAUCGUAGAUCAGAAUGCUACGGUGAAUACGUUCCCGGGCCUUGUACACACCGCCCGUCACACCAUGGGAGUGGGUUGCAAAAGAAGUAGGUAGCUUAACCUUCGGGAGGGCGCUUACCACUUUGUGAUUCAUGACUGGGGUGAAGUCGUAACAAGGUAACCGUAGGGGAACCUGCGGUUG